rnacentral:rRNA from 1 species
UACGUAGGGGGCGAGCGUUGUCCGGAUUCAUUGGGCGUAAAGAGCGUGUAGGCGGCCAGGUAGGUCGGUUGUGAAAACUGGAGGCUCAACCUUCAGAGGUCGACCGAAACCAUCUGGCUAGAGUCCGGGAGAGGAGAGUGGAAUUCCUGGUGUAGAGGUGAAAUUCGUAGAUAUCAAGCGGAACACCGGUGGCGAAGGCGGCCUUCUGGACAGUGACUGACGCUGAGACGCGAAAGCGUGGGGAGCAAACAGG